UGCGACCAUCGUGAUGUGGUUAUUUUAAUCAUAAGUUUAUGAUUGUAUGGGCAAUAAUUUUAUUGCCCUUUUUAUUUU
rfam:Erwinia iniecta strain B120 contig000023, whole genome shotgun sequence.